CUAAUGGGCUUUUAAGAGCUUCGCGAGGGGACUAUUUGUGUACCAUCAGUGAAAGCCUGUGAUCGCUAUGUGACAACAGUAUCUUAAGCGAGCGGCAGCGUGGGAUGACUACCCUGAGCUACGGAAACUUUCCCCAAGGGAGCGUAUGCUACUGAGAUCUGACGGCUCAACUUCUCUGCCACUUUCCAACUUGGGUGUCUUGUUUGCAGCGAGACAACUGAAGAGUCUUGAUUCCUCCGUUUCACCUGAAAAAUACAUGUUUGUGAAGAAAUAGAAACACGACUAAACAGGGCGUUUUCGACACUCUCGCCGCACAAGACAGCUCUGGGACUUGGAAUGUUUUCAUGCCAGUUGCUGCAACGAUCAUGAUGUUAUUAGGUGGUCAGGGAGAGCGGUUCCACAGACUUGUCCUUGGAGGUUGGCGGAGGUUAACCUGUUUGGAGCGGAGGUGUCGUGUGGAGGAUUUGGGGUUAUCCAUCAGCUGAAGCGCUAAAAACUACAACCAUGGAGAAGGUCAGAAAGCAGCUUGAAGAUGGCCUGUAAAAUAUAAUUUAUCCAACAUUUUAACCCAAUAAACACCAUUACAUGUUAUGUAGACCACAGAGCAGUGUUUUUAAUGUAGAAAAUAAUCACAUUAUGAACCUUUUAACUUACAUUUUCAACAUAAAGUAUGCUGUCACCUACAAUUAUUACAUAAUUUUUUCCAUUUGCUUACACACAAUUGUACUAAUUCAGUCUUUUUUCAAAAGAUAAAUACAUUUUUCCAAACAACACAUUCAAUUUUCUUGAUUCUUAGAUGGUUUGCAAAAUGACACACUUUUGUCAAAACAUAUGCCCAUUCAUCCAUCCAUCCAUUUUCUACCGCUUAUUCCUUUUGGGGUUGCGGGGGGCGCUGUUGCCGAUCUCAGCUACAAUCGGGCGGAAAGCGGGGUACACCCUGGACAAGUCACCAACAUAUGCCCAUUCAUCAAAAUAAAGCAAGCAUUUGUACAA